GUGCUCUCUUUGGCAGCAUGUAUAUUAAAAAUUGUAAUGAUGCAGGGAUUACCAUGUCCCUUGUCAAGGGAUGACAUACAAAUUCAUGAAACAUUCUAUAUUUUA